UAUAUCAAAUAUGUUAAAAUCCAGUAAAUAAUGCUAGUAAAGUAUAUACAAAUUUGCACUUCCAAUACACUGAACAAAAAAUGUACAUACAUCAGCAUUCACUACUCCUUUCAACAAUGCUAGAACAUGAUCACUUGUUUGUCUUUCAGCAGACAAUCUUUGACCACUGGCAACCGGGGAGCUGCUGGAGAUCGCUCCUCAGCUAGCUUAGCUGUUUGUUCAUCUAAAAAAGAAAAAGGGUUACCUUUCCAUUAAUUUUAGUCUUGUAGUUACAGCCCCUCAAGUAUUUGGUCACCUAUAUGUACUCUGUUUUCCAGUACCUUGUUUCAUAAUUAUCCUAUGUAUUUUCUUGAAGAGUGCAGGCUUAUUCUACACCAAUUCCCCUCCAUCCUCGAGUUACCUGGCCACCGUAGCUCCUCUCCUCUCUCUUGCCGCUCCAUGUGCUAGCUUUGAAAAUGCCAAAUUAUAUUGUGUCGCAUUGUUAUGUACGUAGUUAUGAUCAAUAACACAAAUACCUAAAAGCAAAGAAGAAAACCAAAGUGAAAUUGCUGGGAAAAUGUCAACAAAUCACAUACUGCUAGAUGAACCAUAAGAAUAUGAGUACCCCAUUAUGUCUCAAAUCAUCAUAAUACAGUGAUAGGUGAUGUAUAGGGAGAUAAAAGACAUUGGCAAUAAUUAAUAAUACUUACUGGUUAAAGAAAGAAAUUGGUCAUCUAAAAUUAUGAAUAUGAAGAUAAUGAACCCAUGAAGAUACUAACGAUUAGAAUUAUCCUUCCUUUCAAUCUCCAUCUUUAACAAACAGGAUAACCCAAAAUGAAUAGGCGAUACUUUUAACAAAAAUCUAAAAAAAAUUAAGGAUAAGCUAUAGAAUAUGUUACCAUUAAGGUAGAUGUUAAUUGCAAGAACAACUUUUAGAUCAAUGCUACACUUUUGUCAUGCAUCACGUUAACAUGUGCCGCAACUUGUGGAGGAUAACAUGUGCUCAUUAUUCAUGUGCAUCCAGAUCUCCAAGUAUUAACACAAGAAAUUAUUCAGUUGUAACACACUUUAGCCAUGCCCGAAAUAUGAUUAGUGGAAUGCUCUGCUCGGUAAAUUAUUACCCAGCGCAUAUUGUUUCACCAAUUUUGAACAAAUGGACUGGAUCGCUUAUCAAGUAUUUUCAAGCGAUGAAACUAAUAUCACAUGUGGAAAAAUGCUUUUCAGGCUUUCCUCUUACGAUACUAUAGAAACUUGGUUCUCUCACAUGUACAUAUGAACCUACUUAUGAUAAUGUUGAUCCCAGCCACGUAUGGAAACACUGAUUGAGAUUUACUCAAUAGGAUAGCUAAAACCUGACAGUAGUGAUUUUUUAAAUGUUAGUAGUAAUCCAGACCAAAAGAACAAGGUAAGCGAGUGAAAGAGUCAACUUACCUUUAACAAAAUUUUGUCAUAUGCCAAAAAAGUUUCAUCCCUGAAUGUUUAAUGAAGAGAUGCUUCUGGCACUUUUGGUUCCUCCAUAUCACGCUGCAAUGAACAUGUCCCAUUGGAAAAAUUAGAUAUAUAAAAAAAUUAAAAUGGCAGCAAUUACUAUUCAAUAGUGAACAAUCAGGCUAUUAGAACAUACCUAUAUACAGUUGUGUAGCACCAUAACAUCUUAAAUUGGGAUAAAGACAGCCAAAGUUCACCAUUAAUAUACAAUCAGGCUUCUGAACAAUAACUGCCAGCAGCCCAACAGUACUAAUCAAAUGAAAUAAGAUAAAUUCAGUUACUUCAGAAUAGUAGAACCUGGCCAAUGGUUGGCCGUAUGAAGAAAAAAUAAGGAUGGAGAUGUUUAUGUGAAGAAGAACUGAAGUCAUAUCAUCUCCUGCUGCACAACCAACUACUGGCCAAUGGUUGGCCGUAUGAACAUACAAGUACCAAAAUGACAUGGACUGUAAUAGUCUUGAACCUAUAUAGACACGGGUUAUUCUAGAAAUAUAUCUGGAACAGGUUGUACGUGCGGCGUCAAUACUAUGGCUGAAUCAAACGAUCAAUUAACCCUAAUACAUACUACGAGCACCCACAUAUACAAAACAUGCAAUCAGAAGAAAGAAGAGUACAUCGAGCAGCUUGAAAGGGUUUCGCAUGGUGGCGAAGCUUCACAGGCAGGCAGGCAGGCAACAGUGCGGACGAACAUCUCGCUCGCAACCUAUGGAUUUGGCUUCUUAAUGGCAUGGCUAAGUAUGCCAGUGCCUCAGACUUCGAGAUGUAGAGUUCUAGAAAAAAAGCAGAUUUGAGGAUCUGGGUUAGCAAAUUUACUACCAAAUGAUUAAUACCAUAGCACCAUGAAGACGGAAGCAUGUCUGCUAGUUUUAGCUAUUAUAUCAUAUUAGGUGGAUUAACAUUACAUUGCUAAGAUUAUUAAAUUAGCAGUGCACCCAUGAUAUGCUCUCAAACAAAAUACAAGCGUUCACUAAAAGAAGCAUAGCAAACAUUAGUCUGUAAGUAAAUGAUUUAAAAAAAAUAUUCCUCAACCAGCCAUGCCUCACUCUAGUGCUGCCACCGCCCUCGUUCACCGUAUAAUCUACGGCCCAGGUCGUUCUGCCCGUGUAAGAGACGUGAGACAUAGGACACAUGAGGAAUGGAAGUAAGAAUCGAUAUGAGGUCAGAAAAUCUUUUAUCUGUAUCUUCAAUGAGGCAAAUCCCCCUUCUGAAUUGACAACAAUUAUCAAACCUUGCAAUGCAUGAUGGGUUCGAUGACAGAUUUAGUGUAUGAGAUAGAACCUCUGCCAAUCUUGUUAACUUGGGUCAUUAUUCAGUAGUCAACAUCUUAGAAAAGGAUGAGAGGUGUGGUAGACAUGGUGGAGGAAUCUUAACAUAUAUAGCACUUCCCAGAAAAGAAGAUAUUAGCACCAUAGUUGAAAUGUGUCUAUAAAAAGGAGUCCUAUUGUGCUUCGAAAAGGGAGUCUGAUUUCAGAGUAAUCCAAGUUAUUCAAGUGAUUAACAAUGAAACAAACUCUGCAAUUUGAGUAUUUCCUAAAUAAAGUGAUAUAUACACGCACCAAAUAUUUGUGAAGUUAGAGAGAACUAUCGAUUUGAGGUAUGUAUGACUCAAGAAGGGAAACCUCUACAUUGAGUACUCAAAGCUAACGAAAGGAAGCCACAUGAUCAGGUAUUUGAGGCAUGCAAUGUAGAACCUUAGCCGGGAUAAACUGCAAUUGGUCAAACAUGCACUCACAUAACCUGGAACGCUCUGAAACAGAAGUUUAAUCUAGCAGCCAGCAACCGCGUACGCGAGGAAAUACCUGCCUGAUUGUACAUAUAUGGAAAGGUGUUGAGCAAGAUGCACGGCUAGUUCAUGAGAUAGACUUUGCGCCCUUCGGGUCCAGCAUGGUGAAGUGGAUCACACCUCCUGUAUCCACCACGAAAUCGAUCUAUGGCAUGUACUCCUUCAUUCUUCUGGACCUAGCUAGAGAACCUGACACCGUUGAUGUAGCUUGCCGAUCCAAGACCAAACACGUAGAAUGGCCGGUUUGCCCAAAUAUGUUACGUUGUGCUUGCACUCGUGUACUUGUCCGGCAACGCCCGAGGAUUCUUC
rnacentral:lncRNA from 1 species